rnacentral:pre_miRNA from 9 species
UCUCGAUAGCGUAAAAGUUAACUCAAUUUUGUGCGGAUUUGGAAUGUUUGCCUACGUUUGCCGCCAGGGGCGCUGUUCCAACUGCAUACAAAUUUGAGUUAACUUUUUCACUAUCGA